rnacentral:lncRNA from 1 species
UUUUGACUUUAUGGUCGUUAAGUUAUGAGAUGCAAAUUCAUGGACAUAUAUGCAAUUGGUGUAAGUAAAAAGAGUGGCAUGGUCGUGAGGGUAGUAUAGGCUAGGAGAGGCAUGAAUGUUAGUGUGCUAGUUUGUUUGUUUCUGUUGCUUAGGUUUCAUCUGUAUGUGUGGUGUUGUAAUAUAUGUGUAUGCUGUCGGAUCUAAGAUCGAUGAUAGGUUGUCUAUUUGCUUUUGUGUUCAAGAUGUAUCCACUCAUGGAGCAGAAGCACAAUCGUGCGCAUGUGUUUCUAAUGUUUUCCGGUCACAGAUUCCAUGUUGAGAAAAGGAAUGUUUCACUUGCUGAGCAAAGGUACGAUUGUGCCUCUCAGAUUGCAAAGUGCAAACAGAAGCAUAAUCGUGCCUCUCAGAUUGUUAAGUGCAUACAGAAGCAUGGACAUGCAUGUAUGAUUGUAAAGUGCAAACAGAAGCACAAUUGCA